UACAGAGGGUGCGAGCGUUAAUCGGAAUUACUGAGCGUAAAGCGCACGUAGGCGGCUUGGUAUGUCGGGUGUGAAAUCCCCGGGCUCAACCUGGGAACUGCAUCCGAAACUGCCUUGCUCGAGUAUGGGAGAGGGAAGUGGAAUUUCCGGUGUAGCGGUGAAAUGCGUAGAUAUCGGAAGGAACAUCAGUGGCGAAGGCGACUUCCUGGACCAAUACUGACGCUCAGGUGCGAAAGCGUGGGGAGCAAACAGG
rnacentral:rRNA from 1 species